UCUAUUGGGCUUGGGUCACGUAAUGGUUUUCGGCCCAGCGACCACAGAAGUAGAGAAAAUCCUGGAGUCAGCGUACGCAGCUCAUCUUCGUGUUCUUCACUCUCUCCAGAUCGGCGGACUCGACGAUUCCGAUUCUGUAACGGUAUGCGAUCUUAAAUCCUCUUAAUUCGUAAGCAAGCCCACUACGAAACCUUCGAUUGCUCUGUUCGUCGGUAAAAUCUGAUUGAUUGAGAAUGUGAACAGUCGUCAAGCCACUUUCUCCAAAAGACGUAACAGUUUGAUGAAGAAGGUGAAAGAGCUUUCGAUUCUCUGAGACGCCAAGGUCGCUGUCAUCAUCUUCUCCAGCACCGGCAAGGUUAACGAUUGCUCCGGCGCAAGAUGCGGAGAAGGGGAUGCUGGAGACACAGACUAAGAGAAUCUUAGCUUCUAAUAGAGGAGAGGGAGCAGCUGAAGACGAGCAAUGGGAAAUGCCUCGAGUGGCCAGUACAAGAAAUGGACUCGGUACGUAACAAGACCCCAAUUCAAGCGAAAUAGAGCCAAGGGACCAAACCCACUUUCAUGCAUGAAGAAAAAGAAGGUGAAUGAUACCAAGAAACCGCAAUCAAAACCCAAAGCUGAAUCGAAAUCUGGUGGACAAGAGGUAAAGAAAGGUGAAAGCGGUGCAGAAAAGAGGACAAGAAAACGGUCCAGAAAAGGAAAAGCUGGUCCGGAGAAAGGAAAAGCUGGUCCGGAGAGAACCUGAGUGAGUGAAAAACAGUUGUUGUUACGUCACAGAAUAUCAAAAUCAUGUACGACAAUAACUUGAAGCUCAGGUGAGAAAGAGCUGGAGAGGACCAGGGUCAAGAAGCUCGCAGUAUGGAGGAGUCACCUUCUAUAGAAGAACUGGUAGGUGGGAAUAUCAUAUAUGAUGCAUGGAUUGUGGGAAACAAGUUUAUUUAGGUGGUUUUGACACUGCUCAUGCCGCUGCUAGGUACCUCUGCAACUCUGAUUGAAAGGCCUUUGCGUUGAUGAUUUCUAUUUGGAUGCUAUUAUCUGAAAGUGAGGUCAAUGCGGUUUUGGAUUAUCGGUCAAGCUAUUGAAUGAUACAGUGAACAAAAAGAUGAAAUCGGAUUUUUGGGUUGGUGGAUACCUGAUCGACAAUGUGUUAGAUUGAAUCAAUGAUAUUGUUUCCUCCACUGUGUGUAUGAUGAACCCAGGCAGUGUCCUUUUGUUCUGGAAGGCAGACAGUGUCUCGGCUCUUCCUUAUGAUUUCAUAUCUUCUCCGGAAAUGCUCCAGAUGAUGAUUCAGACAUGUGAAACCCAGUCAAAAGAGGCAAUAUGAAGAAGCUCUAAGCGA